CGCGAUCUUCUCUCCCUUUUCUUCCCUCCCAUCACUCGUCACGCGGUUCCGCAUCAAUUCCUUCUUAAUCCGCUUUGACGCUGCUGAUGAGAGAGCCCCUAUAUGGUGUUAUCUGUCGCGUACGGCGUUUUACGAUGUCAUAUACAGAUAUAAUACGUAAAUGUAUUUAUGUGCGUUCCACGCAAUGUUAAUAAUGCGCUUUAUGCGCAAACAUCCGAACCUUCAAGUUCCUUAAUAUAACAUAUAGAUUUAGGCACUUAUUAAAUAUUCUGUCGUAUUUUUAUAAAUAACGUAAUGAUAACUAAUGGCGUAUAAUGAUAAUUACUUCGAAUAGAUUAUAUCUUUGUACGCACGCCGUCUAAUUAGGAUUUUAUGGUAGAUAUUAAGUGUAUAGAUAAUGAAUACCAAGAUACACACGUAGGAGCGAAGUCACUUCGUCAUUUUCUUCCCAAGCAAGAUAUCCUACAGCAUUUUAAAUUGAUUACAUCUUAAAAGCGUUAGAAAUAUACCACGCAUCUCGCUGCGUAGAAGAUACAUUAUCCAAUAUAUUACGACUACGUGUAAUUAUCGGACUGAUAGCGCUGAACAACGGCUAACAACGCCAAUCGCAAGGACAAGAUUAUGAGUAAUUAGUCAGUUAUCGGCCGAUUCUAAAUCAUUGUCGCUCGAGACAUCGAUGAGGCUCGCGAGCUCUCUAUCUCGGUUAUCUCUCCCUCAUUUUUUAUUCCCGCGCUUCUUAGCGCGCCCCUUUAAUCGCGCCGUAGCUUUAUACGUCUCGCAAUCAGGAUCAUAGGAUUUUACGACGACCCGCGUGCAAAGAGCAGUGCGUAAAUAUACACCACAUCUGCGUGACGUUAACGUCAGCGUUGCAACAUCGUGGCGAAGGAAACCCGCGUGGCACGCAGCGUAAAUUACCGAUGAGAUGAAAGAGAAGAGGAAGAAAAAAUCAAGAACCGCCGUUGUGUUCUGUUCGUGUACGGACAAGAGCUAAGGACCUCUCAUUACAAAUCCCGUGCGAAGUAUUUGAUUACCGACGACGAUAACAAAUUUCAGUAAUGCGCGCUGAGAACGAGGAGAUAAUUAAUAUCAUCGAACGUGUCUCGCGUAUGAAAUACCCUUUGCUAACUAAAGAGGUGGACGUUUAAGUAAUGCGGAGGAGAAGAGAAAGAGAGGAAAACCGUGCUCGCGACGUACGCGAAGAUGUAAUCCAAUGUGACACUGAAGCGGAAAGUAACGUCCCGAGGCAAUGUAACGUCGACAGUGUACGACAUGAUGAACGAGCGCUCGCCGUGAAUCAUUUUAUGAGUUUUAUAAUAUUGGCCCAGGUUUAUAUAGUCUGCAUCAAGAGUCACGCACUUUCACCGUGCCAAUAUAAGAAGAAUGAUGUUUUAGACGUCAAUAAAACGACAAAUGCAAAGAGAGAUAUAAAACGGCAUACCUCUUAAUGCCAUCAUUAAAUUCGGAGACACACGUUCCUGCAGAGAUCCGCCAUAAAAUCGCAUACGCGAAUCGCCGCUAAAAAUUCCAGAUACACGCGGUUUCACUGAUGUAAGGAGCGGCCACGGCUGAAAGGGUUAAAGCGGGGAGGAAGGCGGAGAGAAGUCGGG